CAGCAGCCACGGUAAUACGAAGGGUGCAAGCGUUACUCGGAAUUACUGGGCGUAAAGCGUGCGUAGGUGGUGGUUUAAGUCCGUUGUGAAAGCCCUGGGCUCAACCUGGUAAUUGCAGUGGAUACUGGGUCACUAGAGUGUGGUAGAGGAUAGUGGAAUUUCCGGUGUAGCAGUGAAAUGCGUAGAGAUCGGAAGGAACAUCUGUGGCGAAGGCGACUAUCUGGGCCAACACUGACACUGAGGCACGAAAGCGUGGGGAGCAAACAGGAUUAGAUACCCCAGUAGUCCCUGUCUCUUAUAC
rnacentral:rRNA from 1 species